ensembl:lncRNA
GGGAUGAGUGCUCAUAGCUUCAUAUUGCCGUGGAGGGUAGGCCUACAUUGUAACGAGUUGAAAACCCCAUGUGUCGAAAAAAGAAGCACAAGGGUACCCUUUUGCGUCAGAGGCUGAAGCCAAAGUCACUGACCGUUCGUCAAAAAUUGACGCGCUCGGAGUGAGAAUGUGUUGCCCAGUUAGUGCGACGCUAAAGAGCAGCUCUACCGGACCAUGCUGCCUCAGCAGGUACAAGUUAGCAGCCGGUUUGAUAUUCACCGUGUAUUCGGUUUUGAUUUACCACGCAAUCGGAUUCAACAACACAAUUGCACUACAUUAAGGGUGUAGUAUGUUGAGGACAGUUUAGGACACCGUAUCGAGAAAAAUCUCAAAGACAUGUUGUUGCUAUCGAUGUCUGUGCAACAACAUCUACGUUCCUGCUAAAGUUGUGACAUUCACGAAUGAACGGAAUCUAUUGAACGGCCCUUUAAUAUGAACGAUGGGAACCGAGUCGCAGUGCUACUUGACUGCCUCCAAGAUCAUGCUGCUGGCCAGGGGACUGCAGAUAGCCACGACAGAUGUCCAGAGGAGGGCAACAACACAGGCAGCAAAAGACAUGGUCAACACUUUAAGCAUGUCAGUUCGAUGGCGCAGAAUGGAUGCCAACCACACCCUUGCAGAUGCUGCUGCGCUUGACCCAAGAUUUAAAAGGAUGGCAUUCACGGAUGGCAGAGCUGCAGACGAUGCUUUCCAGAGAAUAUCAACUUCAGCAGCAAGACUCGCUCUGAGCAGCAGCGAACCCAUCCAGCAACCGAUCCAAGGGGAAGGUGCAGACAGUGCUGCAUCAGUUGCUUGGAGCUAUUUCCAUGAGCAGCAGGUAGCUGGAACAGUGCCAACUGGAAGCAGGAAUCCCACAGCAGAAGCCAUCAUGGAGGUGCAGGCUUACCAAGAGGAGCCUCUUCUUCCAAAAAACGUGGAUCCUGGUGGAAAAGUCGAGCCUCGCUACGACUACCCCAGGCAUAGCAAGCUCAUGGC